GAAAUUGCAGAAAGUAUCUUUAUUGAUUCAUAUAAUAAGCAAAGUACAAUUACACGAGAAAGUGAAAUCUGAAGAAGAAAUAUAUUACAAGCACAAUACUCUGUUCUCAUUUACAAUUCAAGCUCCUUUUGGAGACUGGAUUUGCUAUGAACAUAGAACAAAAAAAACCUGGAAAGUUGCAGAAUGAAAAGUAUCGACAAAGGUUUUCCAUCUUCGUGAUCUAAAGCUCUAAUUCCUUCCACAAGUUGCCUUUCAAAAAUAUCCAGGAAUUCGACAGUUAAAGUGGCAAUCCAAGUUCCAUUCUCUUUUACGAUUCAAAGUCUCAUGGAGAUGUGAUUUGUUUAUCAACUUUCAAAAUAGGAACUAGAAAGUUGAUGAAAUUAUAAGCGCACAUAAGUUUUCCAUCCUCAUGACCUAAAGUUCCACAAGUUGCCUUCCAAAAGUUUUGAGAAUUUGACAUUUGAACUGACAUCCCGAGUUCCAUUCUUGUUGUCUUUGAAUAAGCCGUGAAAACACUUUGACGACAAAUAUUCUUGAUGGCAUUUUCGAUAUGUCAAAAAGUGCGACAACAAGAGUUCCAUUCUCAUUGUAUACUGAUCUUGGUUCAAAUAACCGAGCUUAAAAUAUUCGAUAGUAUUCCAGCCUUCACAGUAAAAAACACAAAGUCAAUAAAAGAAUAUAGUAUAAGAAUAAAAGAUAAUGAUCAAAUUUUGCAUACCCCAAACCUAAGGUUGUAGAUUAUGAUCGAGUAGUGCUGUCCAAACGAUCUGAGAUGAAAGGACUCCUUGCGUGCUAAUCGUAGAGCAGCAGGAGGAAAUAGAUCUGGGAUAGAGCGCAGAUGUCUCAAGCGUUUUGUGACCAACAACACUAACAAUGAAAAGCAAACCAUGAGUAACAGACCAAAUGCUGACAACAACAGACGAAAUACAAUUAGUCUUGUAUUGAGCUAAAAGACAGACCUCAAACCUCAGGCCAGUAUAUUAUAUUCCUUCUAUUGCAGGGACGCUGACACAAAAGAGAGUAUCCAUAAGCAACAAGUCAAAUUCUUAAAACAAUAAUAUAUACUCCCUCCGUUCCUAAAUAUUUGUCUUUUUAGGGAUUUCAAAUGGACUAGCACAUACGGAUGUAUAUAGACAUAUUUUAGAGUGUAGAUUCACUCAUUUUGCUCCGUAUGUAGUCACUUGUUGAAAUCUAGAAAGACAAAUAUUUAGGAACGGAGGUAGUACAAAGCAACACACAGUAGUAGCUCCAAUACAAAGCAGCAACCAUCACUGUAGAGUAGUCUUAAUUACUACUUCCUCCGUUCACAACUAUAAGAUGUUAUGGAUAUUUCAAUAUGGACUACAUAAGUGAACAAACACACUAAAACGUGUCUACAUACAUCCGAUUCAGAAAAAAAUUGGAACAUCUUAUAUUUGUGAACAGAGGGAUUAUUUGUUUUACAUGUCCUAUUGUGAUGCGUGUCUUUGACUCAGUUGUGCCAUCAUGGAGUAACACGCUGCACAAGUAUAAUAUAUGCGGGGAGUAGAUACACAUAGUUCAGACAGCAAUUCUAAACCUUACUGAUUUCCAGAACACAUACCGCAAGUUAAACUGUAACUCUGAAGAUAAGCAUCUUGAGAAAUGGAAUUCUUGAACAUCUCAGAUAGAAUAAGUAGUCCAGGUUAUAGCAAACACACAAUAUCUACAAUGUCCUAAUGCACUCUGUGAGAAAGAGAAAUUUAUUACUAGCUACAUCAGAACUGAAGAACUGACUAUUGACUAAUGACUACUCUUAAGUAGUCUGAGCACUGGGCAUAGACUAAGAUCACAGGGAUCAGGGGAAACCUGCUGCAUUUGGUAAGCAACAUGGGCAUGAACUUGGUUGCAGCUAAAGCACUCCCUGACUCCGGUAAGCACAUCACAGCAGGUUUUGUUAAAGAAAGUGCAGAAACAUGUAAAAGUUGUAAGCAUUUAGUCACUAAAUUAGGCAAUUUAUUCUAUAUCUAUAAUGAGCAUCCAUGGAGUUCCAUUACGUGUAAAAACUAAAAGUAGUGCAUUAGGGCCUGACGCCCCCGCAUGUCCUGGC
rnacentral:lncRNA from 1 species